CCUACGGGGGGCAGCAGUGAGGAAUAUUGGUCAAUGGACGAGAGUCUGAACCAGCCAAGUAGCGUGAAGGAUGACUGCCCUAUGGGUUGUAAACUUCUUUUAUAUGGGAAUAAAAUGUUCCACGUGUGGGAUUUUGUAUGUACCCUAUGAAUAAGGAUUGGCUAACUCCGUGCCAGCAGCCGCGGUAAUACGGAGGAUCCGAGCGUUAUCCGGAUUUAGUGGGUUUAAAGGGAGCGUAGGUGGAUUGUUAAGUCCGUUGUGAAAGUUUUCGGCUAAAACGUAAAAUUGGAGUUGAAACUGGCAGUAUGGAGUACAGUAGAGGUGGGCGGAAUUCGGGGUGUAGCGGUGAAAUGCUUAGAUAUCACGAAGAACUCCGAUUGCGAAGGCAGUUCACUGGACUGCAACUGACACUGAGGCUCGAAAGUGUGGGUAGCAAACAGGAUUAGAUACCCGAGUAGUC
rnacentral:rRNA from 1 species